CUAACAGGUCAUCAGACUGAGACCUGGUACUGAUCCUAACUAACAGGUCAUCAGACUGAGACCUGGUCCUGAUCCUAGCUAACAGGUCAUCAGACUGAGACCUGGUACUGAUCCUAACUAACAGGUCAUCAGACUGAGACCUGGUACUGAUCCUAACAGGUCAUCAGACUGAGACCUGGUCCUGAUCCUAACAGGUCUUCAGACUGAGACCUGGUCCUGAUCCUAACAGGUCAUCAGACUGAGACCUGGUACUGAUCCUAACAGGUCAUCAGACUGAGACCUGGUACUGAUCCUAACAGGUCUUCAGACUGAGACCUGGUCCUGAUCCUAACAGGUCAUCAGACUGAGACCUGGUACUGAUCCUAACAGGUCAUCAGACUGAGACCUGGUCCUGAUCCUAGCUAACAGGUCAUCAGACUGAGACCUGGUACUGAUCCUAACUAACAGGUCAUCAGACUGAGACCUGGUCCUGAUCCUAACAGGUCAUCAGACUGAGACCUGGUCCUGAUCCUAACAGGUCAUCAGACUGAGACCUGGUCCUGAUCCUAACAGGUCUUCAGACGGAGACCUGGUACUGAUCCUAACAGGUCAUCAGACUGAGACCUGGUCCUGAUCCUAGCUAACAGGUCAUCAGACUGAGACCUGGUACUGAUCCUAACUAACAGGUCAUCAGACUGAGACCUGGUACUGAUCCUAGCUAACAGGUCAUCAGACUGAGACCUGGUACUGAUCCUAACAGGUCAUCAGACUGAGACCUGGUACUGAUCCUAGCUAACAGGUCAUCAGACUGGGACCUGGUCCUGAUCCUAACAGGUCAUCAGACUGAGACCUGGUACUGAUCCUAGCUAACAGGUCAUCAGACUGGGACCUGGUCCUGAUCCUAACAGGUCAUCAGACUGAGACCUGGUCCUGAUCCUAGCUAACAGGUCAUCAGACUGAGACCUGGUCCUGAUCCUAACAGGUCAUCAAACUGAGACCUGGUACUGAUCCUAACAGGUCAUCAGACUGAGACCUGGUACUGAUCCUAACUAACAGGUCAUCAGACUGAGACCUGGUACUGAUCCUAACAGGUCAUCAGACUGAGACCUGGUCCUGAUCCUAACAGGUCUUCAGACGGAGACCUGGUACUGAUCCUAACAGGUCAUCAGACUGAGACCUGGUCCUGAUCCUAGCUAACAGGUCAUCAGACUGAGACCUGGUACUGAUCCUAACUAACAGGUCAUCAGACUGAGACCUGGUACUGAUCCUAACAGGUCAUCAGACUGAGACCUGGUCCUGAUCCUAACAGGUCUUCAGACUGAGACCUGGUCCUGAUCCUAACAGGUCAUCAGACUGAGACCUGGUACUGAUCCUAACAGGUCAUCAGACUGAGACCUGGUCCUGAUCCUAACAGGUCUUCAGACUGAGACCUGGUCCUGAUCCUAACAGGUCAUCAGACUGAGACCUGGUACUGAUCCUAACAGGUCAUCAGACUGAGACCUGGUCCUGAUCCUAGCUAACAGGUCAUCAGACUGAGACCUGGUCCUGAUCCUAACAGGUCAUCAAACUGAGACCUGGUACUGAUCCUAACAGGUCAUCAGACUGAGACCUGGUACUGAUCCUAACUAACAGGUCAUCAGACUGAGACCUGGUCCUGAUCCUAACAGGUCAUCAGACUGAGACCUGGUCCUGAUCCUAACAGGUCUUCAGAUGGAGACCUGGUACUGAUCCUAACAGGUCAUCAGACUGAGACCUGGUCCUGAUCCUAGCUAACAGGUCAUCAGACUGAGACCUGGUACUGAUCCUAACAGGUCAUCAGACUGAGACCUGGUCCUGAUCCUAACAGGUCAUCAGACUGAGACCUGGUACUGAUCCUAGCUAACAGGUCAUCAGACUGGGACCUGGUCCUGAUCCUAACAGGUCAUCAGACUGAGACCUGGUACUGAUCCUAGCUAACAGGUCAUCAG